rnacentral:rRNA from 1 species
GAUAAACGCUGGCGGCGUGCAUGAGACAUGCAAGUCGAACGAAGGAUCGGGCUUGCUCGAUCCUUAGUGGCGGACGGCUGAGUAACGCGUAGGUGACCUACCCCGAAGUGGGGAAUAACUGCCCGAAAGGGUGGCUAAUACCGCAUGUGGUCGCACGUUCAUUCGUGCGAGUAAAGCCGCAAGGCGCUUCGGGAGGGGCCUGCGUCCGAUUAGCUCGUUGGUGGGGUAAUGGCUUACCAAGGCAACGAUCGGUAGGUGGUCUGAGAGGACGAUCACCCAGACUGGGACUGAGACACGGCCCAGACUCCUACGGGAGGCAGCAGUCGGGAAUUUUGCUCAAUGGGGGAAACCCUGAAGCAGCAACGCCGCGUGAGGGAUGAAGGCCUUCGGGUUGUAAACCUCUUUUGUCAGGGACGAUGAUGACGGUACCUAGCGAAUAAGCCACGGCUAACUACGUG